UUGCAGCAGCCAGUCUCAGGAGAAAGUGAUAAAUAAGACACUAAGCCCCCUCCUUCUCUCCACACCUGAUUACAGAAGGAGAAGUCCUGAUAAACACAUCACCCAGGCUUUGCCUUAGGAGCAGCCGAGCUUCUCUCUGGUCGAUGUAUUCAUGCUAAACAGAGAGCGUCAGGCCAGCGUGGCUGGACUUUCAUGUGGCCGCUGUAUAUUUGCAUGGAUGCCUUCACUGCGCUGCCGAGAGCUGCCCUCUGACCCUGGCUGCUUUCACAGUGAACUCCUGGCCUAUGGAAAUCAGCCCAUUUCCAUGUCACUUUAAUGUCCCUUCCAGCCCUGCGUGAGACCAUUCCCUCCAGUGUCACUGCUGGACGCUGCAAUGGCAGGAAUCGAGCCCAUCAGCAUCCUCGGGCUUAUCCUGGGCAUCAGCCUGGCCUUGCUGCUCCUGGGCAUCUUUGGCUACACCGUUCUCAAGUGGUACCUGAGAGGACCAGGCUGUCGUCGCCCUAAUUUUGUUUUCAACCUGUAUCACAUCCGCAGCCUGAAGCCUGUGGAAGUGGAGCUGGCCCCGCCGUUCACAGUCAGCGGCUCCAUGAGCGACAUGGGAAGCGGCUACAUGCGGUUCCAUGACAGGAACAUGUGACGCUGCAAAGCCAGAGGUACUGACGCUGCAAGGUCAUUGGCUCUGCAGAGGUGGUUGUGUGAGCAAUAUCCGUUUCCCUGUGUCUUUGCUCAGGAUACUGCUAUCCACUACAUGCACUGUCUCUCUGUCCAUCCUCACUGGGCUGGGACGUGGCCGCCUUAGCUUGUGUGUGCGGCUAAGAAGGAAUCAGAGCAGCAAUGCGGUGCAAGUAACAGGCUGGACUUCAGCUUCUCACCAGGCUCUGGUUCCAUCCCUGGCACUGGUGCUCAGACAGCAGCCUGGUUUGGGUCACUAGGGCUGAUAAGAGAAAGCAUCCCUGUCCUCCCUGUGCUAGGCCCACGCUCUUCAGUGGCUGAUAGUCAUUACAACCUGGUGGGUGGGUGGCUUUUGGGAAGCUCCCUACAUUCCCCAGUGGAAAAAUCUCCUUGUCCCACUUCUCACUGCUGAUGAUUGGUAUCCUGGUAGCACGCAGGGCCCCAUGCUGUGGAUCAGGGCUCUGCUAGGUGCUGUAGACGCAGGACAGAGACGGUCCCUGCCCUGAGGAGCCUGCUGUCUUAGGAUCACGUGAGAAAUGAGGUGGGCCCAACAGACGGACUGGGAGAGCCCCAGGUAACAGCACAGUGAUGGCUGGCACUAAAUGGCCCCUCGCCAACUCCUCCGGGUGACACCCAGCUCAGAGGUGCACAGCUGAUCAUCCCAGAAAAAAGCCUCCAGAGUGGAUGAAAAGCAGAUGGGUUUGUCCACAUUGAGCCCAGCUGACCAUGCUGCCCUGGCGUGUCGCAGUCCCUGGGUGGGAGAGGGCACGAGGAUAGGCAGCUAUUGGCUGGUCUGCAGCCCCACUGGCCUUGGUGCCUCGUGCUUGCAGAAUGUGGGGCUGCUCCCUGGGAGCCAGGCAGCCACUGGUCUAUCUAGUGCCAUCUCUUGUCCUGCUGUUGGCCAGCUUUCCCAGGCCUGUCCAGGGGAUUGAGAUUUCCCCUCAGAAAAACCCUUGCCAUGACUGAGGCCUGUUGGGUGGUGGGAAAUCCUGGGUUUUCCCCGGCUCCUGUUUCAAUUCCCCCAUUCACAGGCCUGCUCAUGGCCUCAGUCUGGCAUGGUGUCUGAGGGAAGUGACUUCCUCUCCAGCACCAAGUUGCUGCCCACAAAGUAACAGCUGAGCACUUCCCCCUCCUGCUCCGGAGCAGAGAUGUGGGAGCGGCGCCUCCCCUGGCCCCAGGAGCAGGGGCUUGUCCACAUCCACAGAGAAGUAAUGCACUGGAAACUGGCUGGAAAACUGUUCCCAGAGAGUCACAGUCAAGCUAGAAGGGCAUAAUGAGUGGGGUCCCUCAGGGAUCAGUUCUGGGUCCGGUUCUGUUCAAUAUCUUCAUAAGUGAUUUAGGUAAUGGCAUAGAGAGUACACUGAUAAAGUUUGCAGAUGAUACUAACCUGGGAGGGGUUGCAAGUACUUUGGAGGAUAGGAUUAAAAUUCAAAAUGAUCUGGACAAACUGGAGAAAUGGUCUGAAGUAAAUAGGAUGAAAUUCAAUAAGGACAAAUGCAAAGUACUCCAUUUAGGAUGGAACAAUCAGUUGCACACAUACAAAAUGGGAAAUGACUGCCUAGGAAGGAGUAUGGCGGAAAGGGAUCUGGGGGUCAUAGUGGACCACAAGCUAGAUAUGAGUCAACAGUGUAACCCUGUUGCAAAAAAAGCAAACAUCAUUCUAGGAUGUGUUAGCAGGAACGUUGUAAGCAAGACACAAAAAGUAAUUCUUGCGGUCUACUCCAUGCUGAUUGGGCCUCAGCUGGAGUAUUGUGUCCAGUUCUGGAUGCCACAUUUCACGCAAGAUGUGGACAAAUUGGAGAAAGUCCAGCAAAGAGCAACAAAAAUGAUUAAAGGUUUAGAAAACAUGACCUAUGAGGGAAGUUUGAAAAAAAUUGGGUUUGUUUAGUCUAAAGAGAAGAGAAGACUGAGAGGGGACAUGGUAACAGUUUUCAAGUACAUAAAAGGUUGUUACAAGGAAGAGGGAGAAAAAUUGUUCUUGUUAACCUCUGAGGAUAGGACAAGAAGCAAUGGGCUUAAAUUGCAGCCAGGGAUGUUUAGGUUGGACAUUAGGAAAAGCUUCCUAACUGUCAGAGUGGUUAAGCACUGGAAUAAAUUGCCUAGGGAGGUUGUGGAAUCUCCAUCAUUGGGGAUUUUUAAGAGCAGGUUAGACAAACACCUGUCAGGGAUGGUCUAGAUAAUACUUAGUCCUGCCAUGAGUGGAGGGGACUGGACUAGACCUCUCGAGUUCCCUUCCAGUUCUGAUUCUAUGAUUGGCUCCAUGCUGUGCUAUCCCUUCUCCAUGGCCAGGUCCAGAUACAACUGCUCUGUGCCCAAAGUAGCUUGCUCUUAAUGAGCGUGCUGGGCAAGUACAUGCAGCCAAUGUGCUGGCUGCAGGCAGGGCUGCCCCAUACAGAGGUGCCGGUGGCAGGGUGUUCUCUGGGUGUGAAAUCAAACAUGCCCCUGAGCAAUUUUGUUCCCAGACCCUUUAUUUUCAGGAUUAUUGCUGUGCCAUUUGCCCAUUGACAGGGAUCCUACCCUGCUCUGUUCAGCCCCCGGAAUCCAUUUCCCAAGCACCCAAAUGUCAGGCCAGGAGGACUAGACUGGAGUCUUGUGGACCUGCUCCCAGGGGGACAGUCCUGGUGACUCCAGCGGCAUGGGAUUGGCUAAGCAAGUCUCAUUCCCUCCUUCCAAGGGAUGCAGCUUUCUCCACUUCUCCUGGCCCAGGGAGCAAGGCACUAGGACCACGGGUCAAAUCUGGUCUGCCCCAGGCCCAAAAUAAGAUGGCCAAUUUCUUUGUGUAAACGGGAACCAUCAUAGUCUCUGAUUCCGGUCUGACUCCCCCACAUUUUCAACAGAGCUCAGCUUUGGUGUGGGGUUCUUCCUAGUUUCGAGUGGUCACCAAAGCUGGGGGAAUUCCUGGGCUCUCGGUUUCUUUGAAAAGGAGCCCAAAAAGCAGAUGCUCCAUUUCCACUGAAAUGAAAGUGUUGCAAUUUUUGUUUCUCAAAUAACUUCUCCAUCCACUAUAUCAUCCUCAAUUUCUUCUGCUGUGCCCCACUUCCUGGGGUGGGGAGGGAAACACUGGCCAUGUCUGUAUUGGGAGCGAGCCCUGAUGCAGCUGCACCCAGUGCAAGCUACAAGUGUAGACUAGCAGAGCUGCAUGUGCACCGGCCCAAUUACCUCCUGCUUGAAACGGGGAUAAGAGACACCAGUGCACACCUCAGCUUCCCUUGUCUGCACCAGGGCUGGAGUCUGGGGAGAUUCCUCAGUGCUGAACCCCACACUGCACUUCCACCCGUGCAGCUUGGGAGCUGCUGGAAGGAAAGCGAUUCUGUUCCCACCGUUCUCUGCUGUGGAAUUGUUUCCUGCAGGGACGCAAUGCAGCCUAGUGCAGGGGGCUGGGCGUCAGGACUCCUGCUGUGGAAUCUUCAUGAGAUGGCGAUGAUAACCCCAGCAGUAUGGCCAGGCUUAGCUCACUGCUGUCCGUAGAGCGCUUUGAGAUCCUCUCUGGAGCAGUGCUAGAGAAGGGCACAUGCUGUUAUUUUAUGUGGAACUGGGACCUGUAUUUUCACACUUUAGAGCUGGAGUUGGGAGCUUUCCACCACUAAUCACUCAUGCAAAAUACACUGGGGCAAAGGCAAUUAACUCCUUGCGUGCCAGGAUCUAGUGCCUGGCAAGACCCACUCAUCGUUAGCACGUGCAUGUGAAAGAAGGGCGGCAGGGCCCUCUGCUGAACUCUUUGCAUGGUACAAAAUAAACAGGGAACACAGAAAACUCACAAGCAGAAGGUUACAGAAUGUGUUGAUGGGCCACAGAAAUUGAUAGUUAUUUUUGUACAGGUGGGGAAAAUGCCUUGUACAAAAUGAGACUGUAACAAACUUCCCUCUUUAGUGAAGUAAAUUAACAAACAUGGAAAUUUGGCCGUACAACAUGAAUAACGAAAGCAAAUACUUCACAAAAGCCCCAAAUGCUUGUUCGUGGUUUUCUGGUUGCCCUCUUCAGGACAUGAAUGUCCCCUAAUGCCCCACGUGUGAGCAGCAGUGUGAUAGGGUGUGCGUGUCUGAGCAACAAAAUCUGCUGGCAAAAUAGGAAAUCACCAGAACAGCAUUGAAAUAAGAGGGGUGGGAAAGCGAGCGUCCUGGCUAAACUCCAGCCUCGGCAGGAGAAGCAUGGUCGAAACACUGGAGCAAAGGAUGAGGAGGCAGGAACUCCCAAAUUACCCCUGCACUGUCAUGGCUGUGGGUUUGGCAUGCUUCACCCCACUGUGGGCAGUGCAGUGCAGUGACUGCUAGGGAAACGUAUGGGCAUUAGGAUAUGUUAUCUGUGAUUGUCAGCUACGUUGCCAGAAGCAGUGUCAAAUUGUGGGUUGCGCCCUUGUGUCCCCAGCUGCAGAGCGUUUGUGCUUUCUCGCAGAGGCGUUCAGCUCGCUACAGACUGCAGGGAGGAGGCUCAGGGACUAGAGUUGGAGACAAUCUGCAAGCAAUGACAUUGUCUCCAGCACUGAGGGAGGGAGCAGCAGAACCAGCUUUCAUUGCUCUGUGCACUUGUGUAUUCUCUGCAACCUUUGGGCUGCAGGGUGUUCGUACAGACACAUGCCAUAAGCAGAGUUUUUGUAACAGUGCCUCUUGUGCCGUGCAAUGCAAACCUGCCAAUAAAUGUCAUCAUCAUCAGCAAGAGUGACCACCAUUAACUUACUACAAAUGAACUGUCCCACGAACACAGAACUAACCCCCCAGGAAAGUGCCCUGUGGCAGUUUGGUUUUGAUAGGCAGGUAGGUGCCCUAGGCGGAUUGCAUGCAGGUUAGGCAGGGCAUAAGGGAAGGGAUUUUUGAACAAUGUAUGGGAAAAUGUUCUCUCAGAAGGAAAAACACAAAGAAAAAGCAAAGGUCUAGUUCAGCAGAAGGCAUGAGAACAGAAUCAAAGCAGACUAGCUCCAUGGCAGGGUUUGCAGGGGAGCAGAGCUACAACCACAAGAGAAGGCCUGCGAGGAGGGUGCUAAGUUUGAGAGUGCUGGAGACCUGCCGCUUUGCUGAGCUGGGACAUCAACAGGAAACAGAACAGGUAAAAGUCACGGCAGGGGGAAGAAGCUGUCCUCUCUCAUGGCCCCUUCCUGCGGGUGGGGCGGGGGCGCUGUGUAAAUACUCCUGAGCACAGUAGGACUAGAGAAGUGAAGGAGAGGUGACUGGAGAGCUACAGACUGGCUGCGGCAACUGGGGGCUGGACUCCUUGUGGCUUUUUUGCUCACUUCCUGCACAUGAGAAACUGGUAGCAGCCUGGGCCUGGAGCCAGCCAGAGGGAGUGUGUUCAGCCCUUUAGACCAGAUUAGUGAGGCCAGAUGAAAUUCUCCUCCUUCCUGCCUCCCCCACAACUCCUCGGGGUAUUGGCUUGGAAAAAGUGUUCCUUAAAAUUGGUAUUUUUAUUAUUUGUAUCAUUGUAGCAUCUAGGACCCCCAGUCAUAGACCAAGACCCCACUGCGCUUGGCACUAUACAAACACAAAACCAAAAGUCGGUCCCUGCCCUAAGGAGCUGACAAUCCAAGUAUGAAACCAGAGACAACAGAUGGAUACUGAAAGCCUGAUGGUGAAGUACGAGGACCCAGAGAGACAGGGUUAUUCUCUACAAGGCUGGAAUAAGCCUGGUUCUAAUAUCCGCCUUUGCCUCUGGGGGUGGGAGGUUCCUAAAUGAUAAAGGGCUCCCACAGGUUUCUCAGCUGGAUUCCAGCUGUGCGUAGAGCUGCGCCCCUGUGUUUGUAUGCGCACGUCUGUCUGCCUAAUUUGUCCAUCUAUCCUAGCGCGAUGACUGAUGGACCAAUGGCUUUGUAAUGGCAGAGGCCACUCCCUUUCCUGUCUUCUCUUCCCUGUCCCCUUGUCCCACUUCUCUUACCAUCACCCUUCUCUCUGCUCUGGUGGCUACCCUACACACAGCUCAUUGCUGAAUGGUGGGCCUGGGACAUUGGACAGUGGACACAAGUUAUCCAGAGCCACAGAUUCUCCUUGUACUUCUAGGUCCCCUUAAAUAUGUACAUACUUUAAUCUUAUUGGUUGGAAGGCGUCCACAUUUAGUUACAUACUGUAAGCCUGUUGGUUGAAAGGAAUUUGCACAUGUGCAAUCUUGUUGGUUGGGAAGAGUAAGCAUAAUCAUUUACAUAGUGCAACCUGAUGGCUGAAAAGAAAGGAGGCCUCAAAUGAGAGCACUUGAGGGGCAGGCACAGAUAGACAUAUCAGAGAUGUGUGUGUGUGUGUGUAUAUAUGGUUAUGUCGUUAUUCCAUUAGGGGAGGGUCUUUUCCAUAUGCGGAAACCUGCCAUAAAGAGACCACUCAAGGUGCUAGCAAAAAUGAGCCCUAAUUAGCAUUUCUCUUUAGCCAGAGCUGGAAUUAAAUUAUGAAGUAAGCCCACUGGAAGUGGCAAAAAUAGGCAGAAAUGCUGCUGGCAUGAGCGAGUUGCACCUUCCUGCAAAAGUCAGAUGUAACCACCCUUCACGUCUCUAGCUGUCUGAUACCAUGGAAAAAUGUGCCCCACUGGUGGAAUUUCCUCUGGACUUUGAGAUGGGUCAGUUCCUCCUUUCAUUACAGGAACUUCUGCUGUGUCACUGAAAGAAACAGUUGCAUCCAGCUCUCUGCCAAAUGCUGCAAAUUAAACUUGAACAUAACAAGGGGAAACUUCCUGAUGUGCUGAUAAGGACGAUUUUUUUUUUUUUUUAUUACUCCAAAGUCCUACUCAUCAGCUGUGUUUAGCUGUGUAACCGGUUUUACUGAAAAAAACCACAGUGAAGUUUCUGUGAAGUUUGGGUGACUCUAGGAGAAUUCCUGAAAUGCCCUGGUAGGAGUUUAAUUUAACCCACAACAAAACGCCCUUUGACCUUUUGUUGUGUUUCCAUUUCUAAAUGUAAGAAGAAGAGUGGAAAUGGGGCAGGAUGUGCCAUUGCUUUGUAGCUUGUGUCAUCAUUUAAAUCUGUGUGAUGUGAAGGUAAAAUUACUCCCAUUCAGAGGGGAGAGGAGUUGCUGUGACCUUAAGAAUCCCUCCCAGCCAGUUGUCAAAGGGUUCACUGUUGGGUAACAGCAACUCCUACCAGGCCUGACAAACGCCCUCCACCGAGCACACCUCUUUCAUGGGCUGAGUCCAUUGAUGAUGUCAUGUGAGGGCACGAAUAAAAAUGUAUGUCACACUGAUGCUCAUCGCGCGAGAUGUGUGGAGGGAUGCUAUUUAAGGAGUUGUGUACAGGUGCUGAAAAUACCUUUCAAAGGCUGUCACCAACCAAAGAGAAUAACCAGGUUUCUUCCAGCCAGGAGGUAGGAGGUGUAGCUCUGUCGGAAUGGAAAUUGAGCUUUGUAAUGGAAGCCCUAUUUACAUGGGAUGUCUCCUGGCGGCUGGGCAGUCAAGAGGGAGACAAGACACUGGAGAAUGAACCACAGGCAGUUGCCCUGUCUCUGAGGGAAGACAAUGAACUUUGAGGAGUAUAAUGGGAAGGGAGAAAGACCCCUUUUGUCCGGCACCUGAGGAAGCAAAUGGACAGUGCGUGUAUAGUCAUGAAAACAGGAUCUCAGUCAGGCUUGGCUAAAACGGGGUGAGAUGAAUGUCCUUAGACAGAAGGUUAGCUGCGACGUUUAGUCUUUGUUUUAUAUGUAACCAUCCCGUUUCCAUCAUCCUUAAUCACCGGCGCGAGAGUUUUAGUCUUAUGACUAUAAAUGGAUCUGUGCUGUGGUGUUAUAUAGGAGCUGAUCCAGAGUUGAGCUGUACAAGCUGUGUACACUGUUCCCUUGGGGACAGCAAACCUAGUAUUACUGUGAGUGUUCACCAGACAAAGGUCUGGACACUACAGGGGAAUGCUUCAAGGGGACUGGGUGCAUAUAUUGUUAACUUGCAAGGCAAAGAAAGGGCUGGCAUAGCCCAGAGGAGAUGGUUUGGGGGCUAACAGACUGGAGUGGUCAGGGAGCUGACACCCAGUUAAGCACCAGCAAGUCUCUCUUUUGCAGGAGGAAGGGGUGUAACACAAGGUGACUCUCACUGCUGUGUGCCCUGAGAACCGUCCCAGUUGCCCAGUUUGCUCAGAUGUAAACACGACAAUUGGUGCAUUGCCUUUUGCUCAUGAUUUGUCACCGAAUACACCAAAUUUACAGGAUUCACUUGGGAAAACUGCAUUCCACUGCUGCCAGCUUAUGUGGACCCGCAGGAGAGAAGCUGACCAUCUUGCUCCUGUUCCUUCAGUUCUGAUCUAAAAAUUCUCUUUCUCAUGUGCAUGGUAACUGCACAGUGUUGCAGUUCCCUGAUCCCUGGAAGGGAAAACCCAACUGUAGCUUCAAUACUCACACACAAGAAGAUACACUGAAAUAAA